rnacentral:lncRNA from 10 species
CACACAGCAGACCCCACAGAGGUCGUCUCUCUGCACGUUCAUGCCCUCUGCCAGUGGCGGACUGCUUAGUUACUUGGUGCUCUUGCUCGGGUAAUGGUGAGGGGACAGGGUGCUUCUCUGUUGCCCUCUUCAUCUUCUAUCUUAGGCCCUGCACUCCAUGGGAUCAGCUGACACCACACAGACCAGUCAUCUGGCCCAACCAGUUCUGCCAUCUCACCCAGGAACAGAAGACAUUAAGAAAAUCUAACUUCGACCCUCUAUGAUUCCAUCUCCAACCUGAGCAAUCAGCACUCCCCACUUCCCAAGCCCCUACCUGCCAAAUUAUCUUUAAAAACUCUGAUCCACGAAGGCUCAAGGAUUUAAGUAAUAAUAAAACUCCAGUCUCCCACACA